GGUCACUGCUAUCGGUGUUCGUCUAAGCCAUGCGAGUCAUAUGUUCUUCGGAACAUGGCGUACUGCUCAGUAACACGUGGAUAACCUGCCCUUGGGUCUGGCAUAACUCCGGGAAACUGGGGAUAAUACCGGAUAACGCAUAUCUGCUGGAAUUUUUUAUGCGUGAAAUGGAUUCGUCUGCCCAAGGAUGGGUCUGCGGCCUAUCAGGUAGUAGUGGGUGUAAUGUACCUACUAGCCGACGACGGGUACGGGUUGUGAGAGCAAGAGCCCGGAGAUGGAUUCUGAGACAUGAAUCCAGGCCCUACGGGGCGCAGCAGGCGCGAAAACUUUACAAUGCGGGAAACCGUGAUAAGGGGACACCGAGUGCCAGCAUUAUAUGUUGGCUGUCCGGGUGUGUAAAAUACACCUGUUAGCAAGGGCCGGGCAAGACCGGUGCCAGCCGCCGCGGUAACACCGGCGGCCCGAGUGGUGAUUGUGUUUAUUGGGUCUAAAGGGUCCGUAGCCGGUUUGGUCAGUCCUCCGGGAAAUCUGACGGCUUAACCGUUAGGCUUUCGGGGGAUACUGCCAGACUUGGAACCGGGAGAGGUAAGAGGUACUACAGGGGUAGGAGUGAAAUCUUGUAAUCCCUGUGGGACCACCUGUGGCGAAGGCGUCUUACCAGAACGGGUUCGACGGUGAGGGACGAAAGCUGGGGGCACGAACCGGAUUAGAUACCCGGGUAGUCCCAGCCGUAAACGAUGCCCGCUAGGUGUCAGGCAUGGCGCGACCGUGUCUGGUGCCGCAGGGAAGCCGUGAAGCGAGCCACCUGGGAAGUACGGCCGCAAGGCUGAAACUUAA
rnacentral:rRNA from 1 species